rnacentral:rRNA from 1 species
AACGAACGCUGGCGGCAGGCCUAACACAUGCAAGUCGAACGCCGUAGCAAUACGGAGUGGCAGACGGGUGAGUAACGCGUGGGAACAUACCCUCCGGUUCGGAAUAACUCAGGGAAACUUGAGCUAAUACCGGAUACGUCCAAGGUUUUAAUCGGCCUUGGAGAAAGAUUUAUCGCUGGAGGAUUGGCCCGCGUCUGAUUAGCUUGUUGGUGAGGUAAUGGCUCACCAAGGCGACGAUCAGUAGCUGGUCUGAGAGGAUGAUCAGCCACAUUGGGACUGAGACACGGCCCAAACUCCUACGGGAGGCAGCAGUGGGGAAUAUUGGACAAUGGGCGAAAGCCUGAUCCAGCCAUGCCGCGUGAGUGAUGAAGGCCUUAGGGUUGUAAAGCUCUUUUACCCGGG